rnacentral:rRNA from 1 species
GUGUCAGCCGCCGCGGUAAUACGGAGGGUGCGAGCGUUGCUCGGAAUCACUGGGCGUAAAGCGUACGCAGGCGGCCGUGCAAGUCGGGUGUGAAAGCCCGGGGCUCAACCCCGGAAUUGCGCCCGAGACUGCUCGGCUUGAAUGCGGGAGAGGGAAGCGGAAUUCCUGGUGUAGAGGUGAAAUUCGUAGAUAUCAGGAGGAACACCAGUGGCGAAAGCGGCUUCCUGGCCCGACAUUGACGCUCAGGUACGAAAGCGCGGGGAGCAAACAGGAUUAGAAACCCGCGUAGUCC